AAGAACAUGAUGUGUGCAGCUGAUCCUCGACAUGGUCGAUACCUCACAGCAUCAGCGGUCUUCCGUGGGAAGAUGAGCACGAAAGAGGUUGAUGAGCAGAUGAUCAAUGUGCAAAACAAGAACUCAUCUUACUUUGUUGAAUGGAUCCCGAACAAUGUGAAGUCCACUGUUUGUGACAUCCCUCCAAUCGGCUUAAAGAUGGCAUCCACAUUUAUCGGGAACUCUACUUCAAUCCAAGAGAUGUUCAGGAGGGUGAGUGAACAAUUCACUGCCAUGUUCCGUAGGAAAGCUUUCUUGCAUUGGUAUACUGGAGAAGGGAUGGAUGAGAUGGAGUUCACAGAAGCGGAGAGUAACAUGAAUGACUUGGUUUCUGAGUACCAACAAUACCAGGAUGCAACUGCAGAUGAUGAAGAGUACGAGGAAGAGGAGGAAUACGAGGCAGAGGCUUAAAAUCUAAUGGAAUAAUUUGGAUGUU
rnacentral:lncRNA from 1 species